rnacentral:rRNA from 1 species
GUCUACGGCCAUGCCACCCUGAACAAGUCUGGUGUCUGAUCUCAGAAGCUAAGCAAGGUCGGGCCUGGUUAGUACUCGGAUAGGAGACCACCUAGGAAGACCAGGCGCUGUAGGCA